UUGGCUCCAUCGCAACAGGGCAACUGCAGGAGACGCGUCAUGUUUUUCGACAACGUGGUGAUCGCCGGAGUGCUGACCGUCAGCCUCAUGUUGGUGUUUUUUGCAGGGUUCGGAUUCUUUAUCUGGAAAGACUCGCACAAGCGCAAAAAACCGUAGGUCUUUCUGGAUGCAAUGAGCACGCAAGGCAUUUUGGGCAACUUCGGUUGCCCUUUUUUUUG
rnacentral:sRNA from 1 species